rnacentral:rRNA from 1 species
AUCGAACGCUGGCGGCAUGCCUAACACAUGCAAGUCGAACGAGUGGCGGACGGGUGAGUAAUGUCUGGGAAACUGCCUGACGGAGGGGGAUAACUACUGGAAACGGUAGCUAAUACCGCAAACCAUCAGAUGUGCCCAGAUGGGAUUAGCUAUGUGGUGGGGUAACGGCUCACCAAGGCGACGAUCCCUAGCUGGUCUGAGAGGAUGACCAGCCACACUUGAACUGAGACACGGUCCAGACUCCUACGGGAGGCAGCAUGGGGGAAUAUUGCACAAUGGGCGCAAGCCUGAUGUAGCCAUGCCGCGUGUAUGAAGAAGGCCUUCGGGUUGUAAAGUACUUUCAGCGGGGAGGCGUUACCCGCAGAAGAAGCACCGGCUAACUCCGUGCCAGCAGACGCGGUAAUUC